rnacentral:rRNA from 1 species
AUUGAACGCUGGCGGCAUGCUUUACACAUGCAAGUCGAACGGUAACAGGCCUUCGGGUGCUGACGAGUGGCGAACGGGUGAGUAAUGCAUCGGAACGUGCCCAAUCGUGGGGGAUAACGUAGCGAAAGUUACGCUAAUACCGCAUAAGCCCUGAGGGGGGAAAGUGGGGGACCGCAAGGCCUCACGCGAAUGGAGCGGCCGAUGUCAGAUUAGCUAGUUGGUGGGUAAAGGCCCACCAAGGCGACGAUCUGUAGCGGGUCUGAGAGGAUGAUCCGCCACACUGGGACUGAGACACGGCCCAGACUCCUACGGGAGGCAGCAGUGGGGGAAUUUUGGACAAUAGGCGCAAGCCUGAUCCAGCCAUGCCGCGUGCGGGACGAAGGCCUCGGUUGUAA